rnacentral:rRNA from 1 species
AGCCUGAUCCAGCAAUGCCGCGUGAGUGAAGAAGGCCUUCGGGUUGUAAAGCUCUUUUGUCAGGGAAGAAACGGCCUGUUCUAAUACAGUUGGCUAAUGACGGUACCUGAAGAAUAAGCACCGGCUAACUACGUGCCAGCAGCCGCGGUAAUACGUAGGGUGCAAGCGUUAAUCGGAAUUACUGGGCGUAAAGCGUGCGCAGGCGGUUUUGUAAGUCUGUCGUGAAAUCCCCGGGCUCAACCUGGGAAUGGCGAUGGAGACUGCAAGGCUAGAGUUUGGCAGAGGGGGGUAGAAUUCCACGUGUAGCAGUGAAAUGCGUAGAUAUGUGGAGGAACACCGAUGGCGAAGGCAGCCCCCUGGGUCAAAACUGACGCUCAUGCACGAAAGCGUGGGGAGCAAACAGGAUUAGAUACCCUGGUAGUCCACGCCCUAAACGAUGUCUACUAGUUGUCGGGUCUUAAUUGACUUGGUAACGCAGCUAACGCGUGAAGUAGACCGCCUGGGGAGUACGGUCGCAAGAUUAAAACUCAAAGGAAUUGACGGGGACCCGCACAAGCGGUGGAUGAUGUGGAUUAAUUCGAUGCAACGCGAAAAACCUUACCUACCCUUGACAUGGCUGGAAUCCCUGAGAGA